rnacentral:rRNA from 1 species
GAAACGACAUCGAAAGCUUGCUUUUGAUGGGCGUCGACCGGCGCACGGGUGAGUAACGCGUAUCCAACCUGCCCACCACUUGGGGAUAACCUUGCGAAAGUAAGACUAAUACCCAAUGACGUCUCUAGAGGACAUCUGAAAGAGAUUAAAGAUUUAUCGGUGAUGGAUGGGGAUGCGUCUGAUUAGCUUGUUGGCGGGGUAACGGCCCACCAAGGCUACGAUCAGUAGGGGUUCUGAGAGGAAGGUCCCCCACAUUGGAACUGAGACACGGUCCAAACUCCUACGGGAGGCAGCAGUGAGGAAUAUUGGUCAAUGGACGAGAGUCUGAACCAGCCAAGUAGCGUGCAGGAUGACGGCCCUAUGGGUUGUAAACUGCUUUUAUAAGGGAAUAAAGUGAGUCUCGUGAGACUUUUUGCAUGUACCUUAUGAAUAAGGACCGGCUAAUUCCGUGCCAGCAGCCGCGGUAAUACGGAAGGUCCGGGCGUUAUCCGGAUUUAUUGGGUUUAAAGGGAGCGUAGGCCGGAGAUUAAGCGUGUUGUGAAAUGUAGAUGCUCAACAUCUGCACUGCAGCGCGAACUGGUUUCCUUAAGUACGCACAAAGUGGGCGGAAUUCGUGGUGUAGCGGUGAAAUGCUUAGAUAUCACGAAGAACUCCGAUUGCGAAGGCAGCUCACUGGAGCGCAACUGACGCUGAAGCUCGAAAGUGCGGGUAUCGAACAGGAUUAGAUACCCUGGUAGUCCACACUGUAAACGAUGAUUACUAGGUGUUGGAGGAUUGACCCCUUCAGUGCCGCAGUUAACACAAUAAGUAAUCCACCUGGGGAGUACGACCGCAAGGUUGAAACUCAAAGGAAUUGACGG